rnacentral:tmRNA from 1 species
GGGGGCGUUUGGUUUCGACGGGGGUAGCAGGGAUAAGAGCUGCAGGUCGAGCUUCCGACUCGUAAAUCCGGAAACGCGUAUAUAAACGCCAAAAACGAUUACGCUUACGCAGCUUAAUUAAGCUUGCGCAUCCUCCCCAGUGGUGCCCGGCUGUUGGGAACAAGGGUGUCAUAAAACCGGGAUUUUCCGUUAGUGUUGCUUUGGCACUAUAGGAGAAACUAACAAAGCUGGCCUCGCUUUAAUCUAGCCCUCAAGAGCAAAGCAGGUAAGAUCUAAACUGAGGGAUAAACCUGUAGACGCUUUUAUUGAUGUACCUUCGGACAGGGGUUCGAGUCCCCUCGCCUCCACCA